UACGUAGGGGGCAAGCGUUGUCCGGAAUCAUUGGGCGUAAAGCGCGUGUAGGCGGCUCGGUAAGUCCGCUGUGAAAGUCCAGGGCUCAACCCUGGGAUGCCGGUGGAUACUGUCGAGCUCGAGUCCGGAAGAGGCGAGUGGAAUUCCUGGUGUAGCGGUGAAAUGCGCAGAUAUCAGGAGGAACACCAAUGGCGAAGGCAGCUCGCUGGGACGUGACUGACGCUGAGGAGCGAAAGCGUGGGGAGCGAACAGG
rnacentral:rRNA from 1 species